GCAAAACGCGAAGAACCUUACCAGGUCUUGACAUCCCGCUGACCGCUCUAGAGAUAGAGUUUUCCCUUCGGGGACAGCGGUGACAGGUGGUGCAUGGUUGUCGUCAGCUCGUGUCGUGAGAUGUUGGGUUAAGUCCCGCAACGAGCGCAACCCUUGAUCUUAGUUGCCAGCAUUUAGUUGGGCACUCUAAGGUGACUGCCGGUGAUAAACCGGAGGAAGGUGGGGAUGACGUCAAAUCAUCAUGCCCCUUAUGACCUGGGCUACACACGUGCUACAAUGGACGGUACAGAGGGUCGCAACCCCGCGAGGGUGAGCAAAUCCCAUAAAACCGUUCUCAGUUCGGAUUGUAGGCUGCAACUCGCCUACAUGAAGCCGGAAUCGCUAGUAAUCGCGGAUCAGCAUGCCGCGGU
rnacentral:rRNA from 1 species